UAAUACACCCAACGCGUUUCGGGAUAGUCUCCCUUAUUCAUAUGAUUAAGGGAGACUAUCCCGAAACGCAUUAGGUGUAUUACAG
rnacentral:pre_miRNA from 1 species